GGCAGAGGUGGCAAGCGUUGUUCGGAUUUAUUGGGUGUAAAGGGUCCGUAGGUGGUCAAGCAAGUCUGGUGUGAAAUCCCAUGGCUCAACCGUGGAACUGCAUUGGAAACUGCAUGACUUGAGUACCGCAGAGGUGAAGGGAAUUCCCGGUGUAAGGGUGAAAUCUGUAGAUAUCGGGAGGAACACCAGUGGCGAAAGCG
rnacentral:rRNA from 1 species